UGCCAGCCGCCGCGGUAAUACGGAGGGGGUUAGCGUUGUUCGGUAUCACUGGGCUUAAAGGGCGCGUAGGCGGUGCGGUACGGUUCGGGUGAAAUCCCACGGCUCAACCGUGGAACUGCCCGAGCAACGGCCGUGCUUGACGGCAUCAGGGGGAGGUGGAACUCCGGGUGGAGCGGUGAAAUGCGUAGAUAUCCGGAGGAACGCCGGUGGCGAAAGCGACCUCCUGGGGUGCUCGUGACGCUGAGGCGCGAAGGCGUGGGUAGCGAACGGGAUUAGAUA
rnacentral:rRNA from 1 species